CUGGCGGCGCGCCUACACAUGCAAGUCGAACGAGAAAGUCCGCAAGGAUGAGUAAAGUGGCGUACGGGUGAGUAACACGUGGAUAACCUGCCCUUUAGUGGGGAAUACCGCUGGGAAACCGGCGACAAUACCGCAUAAGCUCGAGAGAGGAAAGCAGCAAUGCGCUGAAGGAGGGGUCCGCGGCCGAUUAGCUAGUUGGCAGGGUAAAAGCCUACCAAGGCUGUGAUCGGUAGCCGGCCUGAGAGGGCACACGGCCACACUGGCACUGAAACACGGGCCAGACUCCUACGGGAGGCAGCAGUGGGGAAUCUUGCACAAUGGGGGAAACCCUGAUGCAGCGACGCCGCGUGAGCGAUGAAGCCCUUCGGGGUGUAAAGCUCUUUCGGCAGGGACGAUUAUGACGGUACCUGCAGAAGCAGCUGCGGCUAACUACGUGCCAGCAGCCGCGGUAAUACGUANGCAGCAAGCGUUGUUCGGAGUUACUGGGCGUAAAGGGUGCGUANGCGGCUUCUUAAGUCUGGUGUGAAAUCUC
rnacentral:rRNA from 1 species